rnacentral:rRNA from 1 species
AUUGAACGCUGGCGGCAGGCCUAACACAUGCAAGUCGAGCGGGGUUUUCGGACCUAGCGGCGGACGGGUGAGUAAUGCGUAGGAAGCUGCCCGAUAGAGGGGGAUACCAGUUGGAAACGACUGUUAAUACCGCAUAAUGUCUACGGACCAAAGUGUGGGACCUUCGGGCCACAUGCUAUCGGAUGCGCCUACGUGGGAUUAGCUAGUUGGUGAGGUAAUGGCUCACCAAGGCGACGAUCUCUAGCUGGUUUGAGAGGAUGAUCAGCCACACUGGAACUGAGACACGGUCCAGACUCCUACGGGAGGCAGCAGUGGGGAAUAUUGGACAAUGGGCGCAAGCCUGAUCCAGCCAUGCCGCGUGUGUGAAGAAGGCCUCCGGGUUGUAAAGCACUUUCAGCGAGGAGGAAGGGUGGUGUGUUAAUAGCACAUCAUUUUGACGUUACUCGCAGAAGAAGCACCGGCUAACUCUGUGCCAGCCGCCGCAGUAAGAC